rnacentral:miRNA from 1 species
UUUUGUGCUUCUUUCCCACCUGUUGCUGCUAACAAAUGCUCUGACUUUAUUGCACUACUGUACUUCACAGCUAGCAGUGCAAUAGUAUUGUCAAAGCAUCUGAAAGCAGGAUGCACACCAGAA